UACGUAGGCAGCGAGCGUUGUUCGGAAUUACUGGGCGUAAAGCGCGCGCAGGCGGUCCUUCAAGUCAGAGGUGAAAGCCCAGAGCUCAACUCUGGAAUGGCCUUUGAGACUAGAGGACUUGGGUACGGGAGAGGUGAGUGGAAUUCCGAGUGUAGAGGUGAAAUUCGUAGAUAUUCGGAAGAACACCAGUGGCGAAGGCGGCUCACUGGCCCGUUACCGACGCUCAGGCGCGACAGCGUGGGGAGCAAACAGG
rnacentral:rRNA from 1 species